GGGAUAACAUUUGGAAACAGAUGCUAAUACCGCAUAAGAUUACAGUACCGCAUGAUACAGUGAUCAAAGGAGCAAUCCGCUGAAAGAUGGGCUCGCGUCCGAUUAGAUAGUUGGUGAGGUAACGGCUCACCAAGUCGACGAUCGGUAGCCGGACUGAGAGGUUGAACGGCCACAUUGGGACUGAGACACGGCCCAGACUCCUACGGGAGGCAGCAGUGGGGAAUAUUGCACAAUGGGCGAAAGCCUGAUGCAGCAACGCCGCGUGAGGGAAGACGGUUUUCGGAUUGUAAACCUCUGUUUUCGGUGACGAACAAAUGACGGUAACCGAGUAGGAAGCCACGGCUAACUACGUGCCAGCAGCCGCGGUAAUACGUAGGUGGCAAGCGUUAUCCGGAAUUACUGGGUGUAAAGGGAGCGCAGGCGGGAUAGCAAGUCAGCUGUGAAAACUAUGGGCUCAACCCAUAAACUGCAGUUGAAACUGUUAUUCUUGAGUGGAGUAGAGGCAAGCGGAAUUCCGAGUGUAGCGGUGAAAUGCGUAGAUAUUCGGAGGAACACCAGUGGCGAAGGCGGCUUGCUGGGCUCUAACUGACGCUGAGGCUCGAAAGUGUGGGGAGCAAACAGGAUUAGAUACCCUGGUAGUCCACACUGUAAACGAUGAUUACUAGGUGUGGGGGGUCUGACCCCCUCCGUGCCGGAG
rnacentral:rRNA from 1 species